rnacentral:ribozyme from 11 species
CAUGCAUGAAAGCAGAAAAACAUACUGCGAGUAGCUCCGUAAAGUAAACGGUUGAAUGAAAACAAAUGACAAAAUCGUCGUGUUGUUUGUGUUUCGUCUACCGACUCGGAAACUUCUUUUCUUUUCCUUUCCUUUUUUU